rnacentral:rRNA from 1 species
AUUGAACGCUGGCGGCAGGCUUAACACAUGCAAGUCGAGCGGGGGAAGGUAGCUUGCUACUGGACCUAGCGGCGGACGGGUGAGUAAUGCUUAGGAAUCUGCCUACUAGUGGGGGACAACAUCCCGAAAGGGAUGCUAAUACCGCAUACGUCCUACGGGAGAAAGCAGGGGAUCUUCGGACCUUGCGCUAAUAGAUGAGCCUAAGUCGGAUUAGCUAGUUGGUGGGGUAAAGGCCUACCAAGGCGACGAUCUGUAGCGGGUCUGAGAGGAUGAUCCGCCACACUGGGACUGAGACACGGCCCAGACUCCUACGGGAGGCAGCAGUGGGGAAUAUUGGACAGUGGGGGGAACCCUGAUCCAGCCAUGCCGCGUGUGUGAAGAAGGCCUUAUGGUUGUAAAGCACUUUAAGCGAGGAGGAGGCUACUCUAGUUAAUACCUAGGGAUAGUGGACGUUACUCGCAGAAUAAGCACCGGCUAACUCUGUGCCAGCCGCCGCGGUAA